CCUACGGGAGGCAGCAGUAGGGAAUUUUGCGCAAUGGGGGAAACCCUGACGCAGCAACGCCGCGUGAUCGAUGAAGUCCUUCGGGGUGUAAAGAUCUGUCAGUGGGGACGAAACCUGACGGUACCCACAGAGGAAGCACCGGCUAACUCCGUGCCAGCAGCCGCGGUAAUACGGGGGGUGCAAGCGUUGUCCGGAAUCAUUGGGCGUAAAGAGUUCGUAGGUGGCACGUUAAGUCUGGUGUUAAAGGUACCGGCUCAACCGGUACAGGCUCUGGAAACUGGCGGGCUAGAGAGCAGGAGAGGGCGGUGGAACUCCAUGGGUAGCGGUAAAAUGCGUAGAUAUAUGGAAGAACACCAGUGGCGAAGGCGGCCGCCUGGCCUGUUAACUGACGCUGAGGCACGAAAGCGUGGGGAGCAAAUAGGAUUAGAUACCCCAGUAGUC
rnacentral:rRNA from 1 species